rnacentral:misc_RNA from 1 species
AACGCACCUUGCGCCCUUUGGCUAUUCCAGAGGGCAUGCCUGUUUGAGUAUCAUGAACACCUCAACUCUCACGGUUUUUCCGCGAUGAGCUUGGACUUUGGGGGUCUUGCCGGCCUGUGGUCGGCUCCUCUCAAAUGAAUCAGCUUGCCAGUGUUUGGUGGCAUCACGGGUGUGAUAACUAUCUACGCUUGUGGUUUUCCACCAGGUAACCUUCAGCGAUGAAGGUUCGCUGGAGCUCAUAAAUGUCUCUCCUCGGCGAGGACAGCUUCUUAAACGUUUGAUCUCAAAUCAGGUAGGGCUACCCGCUGAACUUAA